rnacentral:rRNA from 1 species
AGCGAACGCUGGCGGCAGGCCUAACACAUGCAAGUCGAACGAAGUCUUCGGACUUAGUGGCGGACGGGUGUGUAACACGUGGGAACGUGCCUUUAGGUUCGGAAUAACUCAGGGAAACUUGUGCUAAUACCGACUGUGCCCUUCGGGGGAAAGAUUUAUCGCCUUUAGAGCGGCCCGCGUCUGAUUAGCUAGUUGGUGAGGUAAAGGCUCACCAAGGCUACGAUCAGUAGCUGGUCUGAGAGGAUGACCAGCCACAUUGGGACUGAGACACGGCCCAAACUCCUACGGGAGGCAGCAGUGGGGAAUCUUGCGCAAUGGGCGAAAGCCUGACGCAGCCAUGCCGCGUGGAUGAUGAAAGUCUUAGGAUUGUAAAAUCCUUUCACCGGUGAAGAUAAUGACUGUAGCCGGAGAAGAAGCCCCGGCUAACUUCGUGCCAGCCGCCGCCGUAAAAC